rnacentral:rRNA from 1 species
UGGGGAAUAUUGCACAAUGGGGGAAACCCUGAUGCAGCGACGCCGCGUGAGUGAAGAAGUAUUUCGGUAUGUAAAGCUCUAUCAGCAGGGAAGAAAGUGACGGUACCUGAAUAAGAAGCCCCGGCUAACUACGUGCCAGCAGCCGCGGUAAUACGUAGGGGGCAAGCGUUAUCCGGAUUUACUGGGUGUAAAGGGAGCGUAGACGGCAAGGCAAGUCUGAAGUGAAAGCCCGGUGCUUAACGCCGGGACUGCUUUGGAAACUGUUUGGCUGGAGUGCCGGAGAGGUAAGCGGAAUUCCUAGUGUAGCGGUGAAAUGCGUAGAUAUUAGGAAGAACACCAGUGGCGAAGGCGGCUUACUGGACGGUAACUGACGUUGAGGCUCGAAAGCGUGGGGAGCAAACA